rnacentral:rRNA from 1 species
UUCUGGCUCAGGAUGAACGCUAGCGGCAGGCUUAAUACAUGCAAGUCGAGGGGCAGCAGGGAUAGCAAUAUUCGCUGGCGACCGGCGCACGGGUGCGUAACACGUAUACAAUCUGCCUUUAACAGGGGGAUAGCCUUUCGAAAGAGAGAUUAAUACCCCAUAAUAGUUUGCUCGGCAUCGAGUGGAUUUGAAAGCUCCGGCGGUUAGAGAUGAGUAUGCGUCUGAUUAGCUAGUAGGUGAGGUAACGGCUCACCUAGGCCACGAUCAGUAGGGGAUCUGAGAGGACUACCCCCCACACGGAUACUGAGACACGGAUCCGACUCCUACGGGAGGCAGCAGUAAAGAAUAUUGGACAAUGCCCGCAAGGGUGAUCCAGCCGUGCCGCGUGCAGGAAGACGGCCCUAUGGGUUGUAAACUGCUUUUACACCGGAGAAAACCUCCCCUCGUGAGGGGAGCUGAUAGUAUGGUGAGAAUAAGCAUCGGCUAACUUCGUGCCAGCAGCCGCGGUAAGACGAAGGAUGCAAGCGUUAUCCGGAUUCAUUGGGUUUAAAGGGAGCGUAGGCGGCCUUAUAAGUCAGUGGUGAAAUCUCCGAGCUUAACUCGGAAAUUGCCAUUGAUACUGUAGGGCUUGAGUACAGUUGCUGUGGGCGGAAUAUGACAUGUAGUGGUGAAAUACAUAGAGAUGUCAUAGAACACCGAUUGCGAAGGCAGCUCACAAAACUGUAACUGACGCUGAGGCUCGAAAGUGCGGGGAUCAAACAGGAUUAGAUACCCUGGUAGUCCGCACUGUAAACGAUGAUUACUCGCUGCUAGAGGGCAACUUUUAGUGGCUUAGCGAAAGCGAUAAGUAAUCCACCUGGGGAGUACGCCGGCAACGGUGAAACUUAAAG